rnacentral:rRNA from 1 species
CCUACGGGGUGCUGCAGUGGGGAAUAUUGGACAAUGGGCGAAAGCCUGAUCCAGCCAUGCCGCGUGUGUGAAGAAGGCCUUCGGGUUGUAAAGCACUUUCAGUGGGGAAGAAAGCCUUGGGGCUAAUACCCUCGAGGAAGGACAUCACCCACAGAAGAAGCACCGGCUAACUCCGUGCCAGCAGCCGCGGUAAUACGGAGGGUGCGAGCGUUAAUCGGAAUUACUGGGCGUAAAGCGCGCGUAGGCGGUCUGAUAAGCCGGUUGUGAAAGCCCCGGGCUCAACCUGGGAACGGCAUCCGGAACUGUCAGGCUAGAGUGCAGGAGAGGAAGGUAGAAGUCCCGGUGUAGCGGUGAAAUGCGUAGAGAUCGGGAGGAAUACCAGUGGCGAAGGCGGCCUUCUGGACUGACACUGACGCUGAGGUGCGAAAGCGUGGGUAGCAAACAGGAUUAGAUACCCCAGUAGUC